CAGCGCUGCGCGUGCGCACGGAGGGGCCGGUGCCGGCGGGGCUCCCCCGGCCCUGAGGGUGACGGGGCCCGGCUGAGCCCGGCCCGGCCGCUGCCUCCUCCAGUGCCCCUGUACCCCUUCUCGUGAAACUCCGCAUCCAGCUCCCCCUCCUCGGGGCAGCAGAACUGAGUGUACGUGCUGGCAGCCUCGGUCCAACUUUACCUUAUGCCUGCCUUGUAAUGUCUACGAGUCUCAGGGAAACUGAAUGGGUUCUGUAAUACCUUUAAGACCUGGACCUGGAAGCUCAUCAAGCAAAUAAAGCUGUGCUAUGUUGAUAAA